ACAGCGGUAGCCUAGUUGUCUAGGUAACGGACUCGUGGUCCGCGUGUCAUGAGUUCGAGCCUAGUCCGCUGAA